AACGUUUCGAAAGGAACGCUAAUACCGCAUACGUCCUACGGGAGAAAGCAGGGGACCGUUUCGGGCCUUGCGCUAUCAGAUGAGCCUAGGUCGGAUUAGCUAGUUGGUGAGGUAAUGGCUCACCAAGGCGACGAUCCGUAACUGGUCUGAGAGGAUGAUCAGUCACACUGGAACUGAGACACGGUCCAGACUCCUACGGGAGGCAGCAGCU
rnacentral:rRNA from 1 species